CUCAGCUUUUAUAGCUGAGCAUAAUGUCAUCUGAGCAGUGACUAAUGGAGACUGCACUGCAUCUGUGGCACAGAGCUCCAUAGAGUGGGUGUGAAAAGCUUUCAGAUGAGGAGGAUCACUUCCAAGCCCUCACCUGGGACCUGGUAUUCUCCAUUAUCUUCAAGCUGAGGCCCAAGAUGGAUAACGGAGGGUUUCUUUUGUUUCGUUAUGUUUUCUGAAGUGCCCGUAUUAUUUUUUCACCUCCUUCAAGAAUCAGAGCUUGAAACAAUGCCGGUAAUUCAAUCAGCUCAAGCAGUGCAACAGCCCUGCAAAUGAGGAAAAAAGAACUCAGCAACUUGUGUUGACAGCCCUGAAUAGUAGAUCUGAGCUGCAGAUCUCUGCAAGAAGCUGCCAUAUCUGACUCUGUGCUUCAUCAUCACCAAAACUGAAGCAAUCUCAGCAACUUUUGAUGACAUGUAUAUUUGAACAUGUUGUUUUUAAACAAUUUUCAUCACCAAAUGAUGUAGUGGCAAUUCUUACACUGGGAAUGUGUAGACACUAUCAUCAUGAUCUGCCAAGACAUCUUUAGAUAUAUCGUGUUUCCAGUCUGCUGGAGAAAUGUGGCAAGGUUAUUUGAGGGGUUGCUAUAUGUCACAACUUGAAUGCUUCUUACUAGACCAUCAAUUCUAUAUAUUUACGUUCAAGUGUGGCACUGGAAUUUUUUUUUUUUUUUUUUUUUUGAUACAGCACAUCCUGAGCAACUCUUGUGUGUACAUAAACUUUAAUUUUUUCAUUCUCAAAUGUCUUUGUAUUAUGUAGUACUUGUUGAACCCUUCCACACAGUCAAUUUGAAAAAUUAUACAAAUUAUUUAAUAUGAGGGAACAAUUAUAUUUUUAAUAUUUAAUUGCACAUUAAUCAUACUACUAAUUUGCAGGCUGAUUCUGACCAUUGUUUCUUUUUUGUUUGUUUUGUUUUGUUCUGUUUUCAGAUCCUACUUAGAUACUGUUAUGCAGUAUGUGACAAAAGCUCUGCUUUACCUUGGACUAGGACCUUCUUCCUGGUUUACAGUUCUGCAGUUGCCACUGGUUAUUUAUGAAACAUGUCACUUUUGUCAUGUAAUAUUCUGGGGUCUCAGAGUUUACUUAUAUAGCAGUCCCUGGGGAAAUGACACGUAAAUAAAUUAUCAAUCAGGAAGUUUAGAAUGGUAUACCUCCAUGGGGAGAAAGGGCUUUUAAUAUCAUUUUUAUGUAUGUGUAACAAAAAUGUCACUUUGAAAAGGGAGGUAUUUUGCUAACAGACCAUUACAAGUAACUAGUGCUCAGAAUUUUUAAAGUAAUGAUUCAGGAAAGACUCCAUUCAAAUUCAGUAGAAUCAAUGUUAAAAUGUCAGGAGAAAGCAAAUGCAGACCAUCUACAAUGUGUUUAAAACAGCCCAACUCUUCCUACUAGUUGCAGCAAGUUCUUUCGAUACGAUAGGAUACAUCAGAAGCUGUAAGUUUUACUUUUCUUCAGUUGCAAUGCUUGUUAUAAAUACUUUCAGAAGUUUAACACAGGAUGCAGAAAGCAGCUUGAUAAAACUCAGUAUACUGAAUAAAAUAACUUGAAUCAUUUCUCCCACAACACAGGUCUUCUCUUUCCAUAGAUCUCUUAGCUUAAGCCUCUCCUUUUCUCACUGAAAUGUAUUUCAGAAUGGUAAAAGUUUUCACAUGCUGUCUUUGGAGGGGUAUUUUUAUUUAACUGUUUAUUUAUUUAUUUAACUGUUCAUUUAUUUAUUUACUUAUUGUGGAUUUGUGCAUUUGGAUACCUGGAGUGUUGAAAAGAAACACUUGUGAGAAGACAUUGAUAUGUGAGAAGUAGAAGGUCCCUCUUUGUUUAAUGAAUAUUUAUUCUGAAUUUAGGAAAAUAAUAACGAAUAAAAGAAAGAA